ACGAACGCUGGCGGCAUGCCUAACACAUGCAAGUCGAGCGCCCGUAGCGAUACGGGAGCGGCGCACGGGUGAGUAACGCGUGGGAACCUGCCUUGAGGUUCGGGACAACCGCGGGAAACUGCGGCUGAUACCGGAUGAUGUCUUUGGACCAAAGAUUUAUCGCCUUGAGAGGGGCCCGCGUCGGAUUAGGUAGUUGGUGAGGUAACGGCUCACCAAGCCUUUGAUCCGUAACUGGUCUGAGAGGAUGGCCAGUCACACUGGGACUGAGACACGGCCCAGACUCCUACGGGAGGCAGCAGUGGGGAGUAUUGGACAAUGGGGGCAACCCUGAUCCAGCAAUGCCGCGUGGGUGAUGAAGGCCUUCGGGUUGUAAAGCCCUUUCGGCGGGGACGAUGAUGACGGUACCCGCAGAAGAAGCCCCGGCUAACUUCGU
rnacentral:rRNA from 1 species